rnacentral:rRNA from 1 species
AGAUUUAAUUUACUUUUAUUUUUAUUAGGAUUUAUUUCAGGUCAAGGUGCAGCUUAUAUUUAAGUGGAGGUGGGUUACAAUAUUAUUAAAAUAUAUGGAUUUGAUUUUGAAAUUUUUAAUGAAGGUGGAUUUGUUAGUAAUAUUAUAGAUAAAUAUUUUUUGAUUUUGGCUCUAAAAUAAGUACAUAUCGCCCGUCACUCUCAAUAUAUUUGAGAUAAGUCGUAACAAAGUAGACGUACUGGAAAGUGUGUCUUGAAUGUACAAGACUUAGUUUAUAGAAAAUAAUUCAUUUACAUUGAGUAGAUUUGAAUUGCGAAAUUUGAGUUUUGAUUAUUAAUUAUUAGUUUACUUUUUAUAUUAUUUUUAUAAAUUUUAAUUAAAAUUUUAUUAUUUUUUAUGUGUUUUAGUAUUAUUUCUUUGAAAUAAUUUUAUUUGUUAUAGUUUACUUGUACCGUGAGGGUUUAGUUUUGUUUUCUUUUAAAGUAAAUUUUUUGUUGUACCUUUUGUAUCAGGGUAGAUUAAAUUUAUAUUAUUUAUAUAUUAAUCUCGAAUUGAUUUGAUCUAUAUUAUUAUGUUAUUUACAAUAGCAUAUUUAUUAAUUAUAUUAAUAUAGGUAUGAUAUGUUAAUCGUAAAUCAAUAUAUCUAGUUUUUUAAUAAUUGAAUUUAAUUCAGCUAUUAUUAGUUAAUAAUAUUUUUUAUUAUUUUAUUAUUUAUUAAUAGUAAUAUUAUGGGGGAUAAGCUCUUUAAUUUUUUUAUAAUUUAUAUUUUUAAAUGUUAUAUAGGUUUUAUAAUAUCCAUUAUUUGUUAGUAUUUUAUAAUUUAUUAUUUUAAAUAUUUGAUUUAUUUUUAUUUAAUUAUUUAUUAAAAUUAUUUAAUUAAUUUUUUAUUAUAUAUAAAAAUGAUUUAAUUAGUAUAUUUUUAUUUAUGUUGUUUAUAUUUUGUAAAUUUUUAUUAAGGAACUAGGCAAAAUUAUUUAUUCGCCUGUUUAUCAAAAACAUCUUUUCUUGAUUUUUAUAUAUGAGAUUUGACCUGCCCAAUGAAGUUUUUAAUGGCCGCGGUAUUUUGACCGUGCAAAGGUAGCAUAAUCACUAGUCUAUUAAUUGUGGACUUGUAUGAAUGGUUGGACGAAAUAUUAACUGUCUCAUUAUAAUAUAAGUUGAAUUUGAAUUUUAAGUUAAAAUGCUUAAAUUUUUUUAGAGGACGAGAAGACCCUAUAGAUCUUUAUUUAUUAUUUUAUUUUUAAAGUUUAGAUUAUAUUUUUUAUAUAAAAUUGUAUUUUUUGUUGGGGUGACAUGGAGAUUAUUAUAACUCUUUAUUUUUUUAUACAUUUAUUUAUGUUUAUUUGACCUUAUUUUAAUGUUAUAAGAUAUAGAUACCUUAGGGAUAACAGCGUAAUUCUUAUUAAGAGUUCAAAUCGACAUAGGAGAUUGCGACCUCGAUGUUGGAUUAAGAUUAUAGUUAGGUGCAGAUGUUUAACUAUUAGGUCUGUUCGACCUUUAAAUUCUUACAUGAUCUGAGUUCAAACCGGUGUGAGCCAGGUUGGUUUCUAUCCUUAAAAUAAAAUUUUAUAUUAGUACGAAAGGACCAUAUAAAUCAAAAAUUUUGUUAUUUUGAUUAAUAUU